UACGUAGGGUGCAAGCGUAAUCGGAAUUACUGGGCGUAAAGCGUGCGUAGACGGUAGCGUAAGUCGGGUGUGAAAUCCCCGGGCUCAACCUGGGACCUGCAUUUGUGACUGCAUCGCUAGAGUACGGCAGAGGGGGAUGGAAUUCCGGGUGUAGCGGUGGAAUGCGUAGAGAUGCGGAGGAACACCGAUGGCGAAGGCAGCCCCCUGGGCUGACACUGACGCUCAGGCACGAAAGCGUGGGGAGCAAACAGG
rnacentral:rRNA from 1 species